rnacentral:lncRNA from 1 species
CCUGACCUUGUGAUCCUCCCGCCUAGGCCUCCCAAAGUGCUGAGAUUACAGGCAUGAGCCACCGUGUCCGGCCACCAGCUGAAGUUUUUCCAGAAUUGGCGGAAGAUGUCCGUCCUCACCUCAGGCAGCACAGUUUUCAAAACUACUGUACCUUUGUAUUCUAAAAUUGUGUCUCUCACCAAGCAUAUACUUAGCAGACAUUUGUUAAAUGAAUCUUAGAUACAUUAUGAUGAAACUAUCCAGCAUUAGAUAUGAAGAUAUAAUUUUUAAAUCUAAUACUCAUUUAGAUUGCUUACUAAGAAACAGCAACAAGGUGAAACAAAAUUUCCAACAAACACAGAGCUGGAUAAUUUCUUAGAAGGAAUGCUGGCAGAAAAUAAUUCUCCACCUAGAAUUAUAUAUCCAAAUAAUGAUAAUUUCAAAUUAUUAUUUAUAAUUUUGAAAAUAUUAAUGACACUAUUUUUGAUGGCCAAAUAAAAAAAAAGUUGAACAAAGUGCCUAAGGCUAGGAGAACAUUAUUGAAUAAAUUUUUUUAUUUUUAUUACCUUUCAGAAAGUAGACACAGAUCCUCCUAUGAUGUGUUAGAAUGAUUAAUGGGACCAGAAACUGCACAAAUAGUGGUGAAUCUAAACAAAUAUUGAUGACCUAUAAAUAUUCUAUACUGGAUAUUUUGUUGGAAAAAGUGAUGAAAUUAAGACACAGGGCACAAUGAUGUGUUAGAAGAGAGAUGGCUGAGAAGUCAUGAAAUAAUAUUUUACGUUGCUCACAAAGUGCAGAAAUUUAUUACUAUAGAAUUUGUUUAGUCAAGUGUACAUAUUAAAACUUUAAGUAUAAAACUGAGCAUUUGAAAUAAAGUGUGCAAUUGAGCAAAAAGGAAAAGCAAAAUGGUAAAACAAAAAAAAAGUAAAAUGAUCUGUCAAAAUAAGAUAGAAUGUGAGUUCAUCUCUGUGGAUAUAAAAUAACUAUAUGAAAUAUAGGCUUUACACAGGAAAAUAUAAGUCCCAGAAAAAUUUAAAGGACAUAGAUGUCUCAGUGAUUUGAUAGUUUGAAUUAUAUAUCUUUGAUAUAAGUACAUAUUCAUGAAACAAAAUAUGAGACUGAAUUUAGCAAUAAAUUAUAUAUCUGACAUUAAAACUGGAUUUUUUUGUUUGCUUAUAGAUACUGAAUAUUUAUGACUGUUAUUUAGUUACCUCUUUUUCAGUGUUUCUUGAGGCUACUUAUUUGACUUUAGUGAAAAAUAUACAUUGAUUUUGACUGUUUCAAAGAUGAAUUGCAAUUAAUAGUUGAUGACUCACUGACCCCCUGUAAAGAAGUCAUUAAGCAGACGGUACAGUGUAACUUAGGUAUAAUUUAGUUCAUAUAAUUUCAAUUUGACACAUCCUAUUUAAAACCAUGACCCAUUUAAAGAUGAUUGAGAAAUGCCUAACAGAGCUAUUCACUUUCCUUAAUUAUUCUCUGAAGAAUUAAGAUUGAGACAGAAAAAAAAUGUGUGAGAUUUUUUCAAUGGCCCUGAAAAUUUCCAUUGAAGAUCGCAAAGCCUAAUCAAAAGAAAAUUAUGAAUGUGUCUAUGAUGGAUAUGGCAUUUUCCUCAGAUGCUGCUGAACGUUCACUGCCACCAUGAUUUGGAUGCUCUCAUUUUAAUAAGUAGUUUUUGCAUUCGCAUGCUCUUUCAAAUCUACUCACAACCAAAAUAUUUUAUAACUAAGAAACAUGAAAUGAGAUAUCUUGACCCAAAUUAUUUGUAUAAUAAGCCAGUGCUUUUUGGGUUAUGUUCCAAAUUCCUAGAUUUAUGAAGUGAAAUAUAUGUUUGCUAUAUGGAUAUAUGUUUUAAAAUACAUAUACAUAUAUAUAGAGAGAGAGUAAAGAUGUAAUGUAGAAAUUUUCCAGAUUUUAAAAAUUAAAUAUAUUUUUUAGUUUUUUUCAAUGUAUUAAUAAUAAGGUCAUAUCAUUUUUAAUAAAUAGUUAGAAUGCUUUUGGUACUGGUUCAUUAACUGAUAAUUCUCUGAUAUAUAUAUUGUUGCUAUCUGCAGUAGAGUGACAAUAGAAGGUUAAAAAUGAGACAAAGAGAAAAACAAAACAUAUUCUGACUUGAUCUUCAUGUACAGAAAGGAGUGGUAUACUCUUCUGCCGAGAGACUGUACUUCUCAGCCUCCCUUGUGGCUAGGUGUGCCAUGUGACUAAGUGCUCAUGAUUGAGAUGUAAGUAAAUGUGAAAUGCAGGACAGCAAUACCCCUUAUUAAAUGUAAUUGCCCAUAAUUCCCUUGUUUUUUACUUUCAUCCCAAAUGAAAAUGGUGAUGACCAGGGCAACACUAAUAGCUGUGUAUCAUGGAUAACAAAGCCAUACCCAAUUUGUUGGGUUCUGGACUGAUUCAUGGAGCAUAGAGUUCCUGGGCUCAUAAUGUAAGCAGAAAACACUCUUCAGUUUUAAUAAGAAAUCUAUAUUGUGGGGCUUAUUAGCUCUAGCAAUGUAGGUUUUACUGUAGCUAAUAAAUAAUUGGUACAUUGGAAGGCUUUCUGCCUGCCACAAAAACCUAAAAAAAAUGUGGAAUAGACACGUAAGUGAGAGUGAAGGCAGUACAUUUAUUUAAAGUGUCACUUCUGGUAACUGGAAGAGCAAACCCCUUGCCUAAAGAGCCUUCAGCUGGAGGAGAGGCUGAUGGAAAGGGCCAGAAUGUUACCAUGUGUUAGCUGUUUAUUGCUGCAUUUAGCUAGCUUAUUUCAGGAAUUAAUGAGCUGAAGGAAGAACAAGACAAUUUCAAGUAGAGUUUGAAGAGAAUAAAGAGUCCAGAAAUGUGGGAUCUGAUGGGGCUGGAAAAGCCACCUUCGUUUAUCACCCUACACAGUAGGAGAUAACCCUGCUGCUCAAAAGAUUUAAUAAAAAAUGUCCAUUAAGAAUUCUCAGCUCAACAAGUGAAUCUAUAGAUCAUCUGUGCAAAAGAUCAGAUAAAGUAUGUUGCUUUCCAAAUAAGUCUAUUAUUUUAUAUGGUUUUAUACUUUCAAGAGCCAUCAUCAAAAUGGUAACAAUUGACACUGGCUUAACAAAGAAGUGAGACCGUAAGAAUAGGUUUCAUAAUUAUUUCCAGAAAAGAGCCUUGGAUGUAGGUUUCCAGCACAAGAAAAUAGCUGUAUGCAGUUAGACCAUAAACUCAUUGAAUCUUCUAAUAAUUUUUUUUUUUUACUAAAGAAAUCAAAUAUUUAGCCUUCAAAAAGUCCCAAGUUCCCAAAUUAGUGGGUGCAGAAGCAGGCUAUGAAAACUGCAGUGCUUCUGACAAAAGAAAUCUCUUUAAUAUUCAUGCAGAUGUGGUGAGGGAGAAUGUAUUACAAGAACAAAUUUUUUCAGAGAGAAAGCCAGGACCGCAGAGGAUAGAGGACAGGAAAUUCUUUUCAAUAAGCAGCGAUCAGUUUUAAGCAAGAAACUUUCUCCACUGGUAGAGCAGAGAGUCUCUGCAAUUUUUGUCCUGCAAAAUUUUAUUGCUCUGAGCAGUGACUGCGUGGUCAUUCUUUUUUUUCUCAAAUGAGACAUUUUAUUGUAAUUUUAAGUAAUAUAUAGUUGCUAUUAAUGAUACGUAGGAAACUUUUGUGAUAGAGAGGACUGUACCCAAAUAUCCUGACAUCUGAACUGUAUACCAUGCCUGAGUGUAACUAUGGCUUGUCUUUCUUGGGAAGUGGGUAGACAUGUUCUAACUUGAGGAAGAAGGGUGUGCAGAUUAUAAAAGAUACUGCUGUCUGUCUUUCUAUUAAUAAUAACUAGCCUUCCUCCAGGGUUUUUUCUGGUCUGUGUCAACUAGGUUUAGAGAUUUCACUACACUUCAGCCAAAGAGAUGUGCACAGAAAUGAGGCAAACAACCUCACAUCGCAUCUUUUCAAAGGAACGCUGCUUGCCCUUUGCUCUAUCUUUUCCCUCUUUUGUCGGAUCUGCUGGACUGUAUUUUUCACGUAUUGUCACAUGAUAAUGUCUCAUUUCUCAUGCUCUUCUUGCAAUUUUAUUGGCAAUCCUCCAAAUAUUUCCUGGAUUCCAAGCUCUCUCUUUAUUAAACUGAAUUGAGACUUGUAACUAAACCGACUGGUAGAGUAUGGUAGAAGUGAUGGAAUAUAAACUCUAAGGCAACUCGUAAAACAUAAUUCUCUUCAAUUUGGCUUUCUUUCUGAGUCAGGAUGUUCACCUUUGGAACCUAGCCACUAUACCGUGAGGAAGUGCAGACCACAUGGAGCCACCAUGUAUAGCUGCUCCAUUCAACAGCCCUUGCUAAGUUCUCAGAAAACAGUCUGUAUCAAUUGUUAAGAUAUGUAAAUAAACAAGCUACUGUAUAGCUCAAGUGUUUCACAAGGCAACGCUGGAAUAAGGAAGGCAGAAAUUUGAACCUGGAUGUCUCUGGAGCAGAGUUCCCUAUCACUUUGGGCUGUUUUCCCUCUUCUUGAACUUUAGGAGUGAGAAAUAAGUGUCUAUCUUAUGAAAACAACUGAAUUUGGGGAUCUCUAAAAUAGUGGUAAGAAAUAAGAUUAAAGCUUUUAUAGCCUGAUUCCUGCUGUCAGAGUUCUGAGAAACAGAACUUUGCCCAUAUCUUACUUUAUACCCCAAUGCCUUGUAAUUAUGAUUUAAUUAAUUAGCAAUUUUUAUUAGAAAUAUAUUCACUUAGAAAAUAUGCUUUGACUUCCCACCAUAUAGCAGAGUCUGGUUCUUGCUGCUGUGAAAAGGAUAAGGAAGAAGCUAUGCAUGAUCUUUGUCCUUGUAUUACUUUCCUAUUGCUGCUGUAACAAAAUGCCACAAACUUUGUGGCUUAAAACAGCACACAUUAAUUCUCUUAGGAAAAAAAUUAGAGUUCUGGAGGUUGGAGUUUAAAAAUCAAAGUGUUGGUUGGAUUGAGUUACUCUUGGAGGCUUGUGGAGUAAUCCAUUUCCUUGCCUUUUCCAGCUUCUAGGGACUGCUUGAAUUCCUUGACUCACAGUGCCUCACACCAACCUCUGGUUCUAUUGAAACUUUGUCCGGCCUCCUCCCAACCUGCCGUCUCAACCUCUAGUUUCCCUCUUAUAAGGACCUUUGUAAUUGUGAUUACAUCACACUCACCUGGAUAAUUCAGGAAAAUCUCAUCAUCUCAAGAUCCUUAACACAAUAAAAUCUGCAAAUUCCCUUUUACCAUGCAAGUUUGAGCUGAGCUUUUGCUUGCCAUCCACCACUGCUGUUUGCCGCCGUCCCAGAUCUGCCAUUGACUUCCACCCCUCCAGAUCCGGCAGUGUGUCCGCUGCACUCCUGAUCCAGCGAGGCACCCAUUGCUGCUCCUGAUCAGGCUAAAGGCUCGUCAUUGUUGCUGAACAGCUAAGUGUCCAGGGUCAUCCUAAUUGAGCUGAACACUGGUCGCUGGGUUCCAUGGUUCUCUUCCAUGACCUAUGGCUUCUAAUAGAGCUAUAACAC